CAUCUGGUACCCGGCGAUGCCUGCUGUCAGCUCACACCUCCUCUGCAGUUUUUCAGAGAAGGUGAGAACCUUCAUCUAUUUUUAUCAAACUGUUUCCCACCGUGUUUUUGUUUUUGUUGCGUUCAGCAGUUUACUUUUGUUCGAGCUACUUAAAUGCUAACUAGGUGGCUUCAUGCGGUUUCCAAUGCAUUUCUUGUAUUUCUAUGGGGUUGUUUGUUUUUUUUUUUAGUGUUUUCUGUCCUUUGGGACUCAGCUAGUUCUGUUAAGGGAGUGAGUCAGAGAGAUCAUCGAGGAGUCUCGGAGGCUUAGAGUCAUUGGUCGCUUACAGUACAUAAUUUACUUUGCAACCAGAGAUAUUUUUGAGAGGGGAUUCUUGUGGCAUCUAAGUCUGCUUUGUCGUUCGGUCCUGUCCGGAACGCAGCUCUGGUAGGAGGUAGGUUGCAUGGGUGGUCCUGCCAGAAAUGCAGCGUGACCCCCCCCAGCAUUCUUUUCAUAAGCAAGUAUAGCACGUAACUUUUGGUAAAAACAGCGUUAUUGCAUUUAAUGAGCUGCUCUCCUACAUAGCUUGGUACGGCAUCUAUCUUUUUCUAUCUACGCCGCAGAAAAAUGAGGUUUGAUCCCCUACCGGGUCACGCUGCUGAUGCAAUCGACGUAGGUGCAGUGAGAGAGCCGGCGCUGUCCGUCCCAGGAAGGGUCGCCGCGUGAGCUCCGGGCAGGCGCCAGCGCUCCGCGCCGCGGCUCCUCCAGCGCCCGGGUGCUCUGCGGGGGCGCGGGGUGGGCAGGACCCGGCGCGUACCGGCCCCCGCUCAGGGGGCUCGCUCAGCUGCUGGGGGUCGCUGGUGCCGUCCCUUCGGCCGGUGGCCGCUGUUUGUGGGGUGUUGACGUUAAGAGAAGCGGGGCUGUCUGAGGCAAGGGCUUCGCAGACCGGGUGUAAGGUUCAGCAGCACGUACGCUGUGACGCACGCCUGCGUGCAGCGCCUCGCCUUUUCUUUUCCUUCUUCUCAGCUGACGUGAGGUUGUGACAAAGUCACGAGAGACGUGGCGUAACCUGCCCGGGCCUCCGCAUUAUGCAGGGCUGAACAUCAGGCGAGUCUCACCUUGGGAAGCAUUAGGGACACUAAAAUAUUCUAAAAUAGAUUUUUUUCUUUCAGUGUUUCUUUUGUUUAUUCCUGCGGGUAAAGUCAGGUCUUCUUUUGACAUCCAGGUCCCUGCGGCUCUUUCCUCCUCCCCGCCCCGAUAUCCCCACCGGUGUUUUCCCACGACAGGAGGGGCAGAGCCGGGAGUGGAGCGCUGGGGCAUCCGGGGAGGUAGCGAUGGGCUUCCCCCCCUCUUUGCAGGGCUGACCCCGAGGAUGGGUGGUACGCGGGUCGAUAGUGUGAGUAGAUAUUAUGUGGGUGCACGAAUCCCUUUCUGAUUGUGUCAGAGGGUAAGGGUUCGGUUUUGUUCAGUGUAUUUGUCGAAGAUGCAAGUUCCGUGUGGGGAAAAAGCCAGCGCUCUGGCUGCUUUGGGGAUAAGGUGGGGUAUACCUGUUUUUGUAGGGCAUAUCUUAUUUGGCAGGUGUUUUGAACUAGUUGUAUCUGGUUUUCCUAGCGACUCACGAAGGGGUUUGGGGCACCCAAGGGCAGGUACUGUUCCCAAAAGGCAAAGCAGGGCCGUAGCAGACUUUUCUAUUUAUGGGGAUGGGCUCGGUCAUCUCCUGCACAAACUCUUGUUAUGUGGAGAUUGGGGUGGCAGCUUUCUUUUGAUUUCUUGAUGAAGCAGAGGAUGAUGGAGCUCGUUAUAAGAGCAUAAUAAUUUUCUCUUCCUUUGGCAGUACGGGCACCCGAGGGCCAGCCUGCUUUUGAGGAAUGGCAUGAGGAUAUCCGUGUCAACUGUCAGCAGAGGAAGGAAGCUUGUUUUGGAGCGGGCCCAGCGUUGAAAGUUACGGUUCCUGAGACGUUGGCGAAGGACUGACCAUGCCAGCAGGCACCAGAUGCAGCCGCUGAGCCCGGAGCUGCCGCACAGGAGCCCGCUGAUGUAGCUGACUCAGCGCGGCAGAUCGGAGCGCAAAGCACGCGUCGACAGGGUUCGUGGAGCGAAGAAGUCCGAAUGGGGAUGGUUGCUGUUUGUCAGCAUCUGGUUGAAUCGUGGAACCAUUAUGGCUGGAAAAGACCUUUAAGAUCACCAAGUCCAGCUGUCAAGCCAGCACCACCUUGCCUCCUGAACCAUGUCCAGAAGCUUGACUUUGUUUUUAUUUUGCUGCUACAGACGCACAGCAGGGAACUGGACACCAAAGGCAGAUGGUGAGCGGGGUACCUUAAGGUCGGUCGGCACUUGACAAAGGAGGCAUCAGUUCCAUUUUACCCUUUAACAUACAGCAUCUGCUGACUCACCCUGACGCAGCAACCCCGGGGCCUUACUGCGGGGGGGGGAACCCCCAACCCUGUUCCACAGCUUCCCUGUGCUGCCUCGCCGCCCUAGGGGAUGGGGGGCACGGACAGAAACAACCACCGCGCUGCUGGAGGGCCGCGAGGGAGAAAGGGCAGAGAAACACAAGCCCCGCACCCCCCCGUAAGCAGCUGCCGGCCCGGGAUGGUGUAACCGGGGCUGAGGUGCCGGGGGUUGCUCGGGAAGGAACAGCUGGGGCGGUGCUGCCGCUCGGCGGCCGGGCUUCGGCGGUGCGG